rnacentral:rRNA from 1 species
ACGUAGGGGACGAGCGUUAUCCGGAGUUACUGGGCGUAAAGGGCGUGCAGGCGGUUUCCUAAGUCAGGCGUGAAAGCCACGGGCUAAACCUGGGAACUGCAUUUGUGACUGCCUAGCUAGAGUUUGUCAGAGGGGGGUGGAAUUCCAUGUGUAGCAGUGAAAUGCGUAGAGAUGUGGAGGAACACCGAUGGCGAAGGCAGCCCCCUGGGACAUGACUGACGCUCAGGUACGAAAGCGUGGGGAGCAAACAG